rnacentral:rRNA from 1 species
UUGAAGAGUUUGAUCAUGGCUCAGAUUGAACGCUGGCGGCAGGCCUAACACAUGCAAGUCGAACGGUAACAGGAAACAGCUUGCUGUUUCGCUGACGAGUGGCGGACGGGUGAGUAAUGUCUGGGAAACUGCCUGAUGGAGGGGGAUAACUACUGGAAACGGUAGCUAAUACCGCAUAACGUCGCAAGACCAAAGAGGGGGACCUUCGGGCCUCUUGCCAUCGGAUGUGCCCAGAUGGGAUUAGCUAGUAGGUGGGGUAACGGCUCACCUAGGCGACGAUCCCUAGCUGGUCUGAGAGGAUGACCAGCCACACUGGAACUGAGACACGGUCCAGACUCUACGGGAGGCAGCAGUGGGGAAUAUUGCACAAUGGGCGCAAGCCUGAUGCAGCCAUGCCGCGUGUAUGAAGAAGGCCUUCGGGUUGUAAAGUACUUUCAGCGGGAGGAAGGGAGUAAAGUUAAUACCUUUGCUCAUUGACGUUACCCGCAGAAGAAGCACCGGCUAACUCCGUGCCAGCAGCCGCGGUAAUACGGAGGGUGCAAGCGUUAAUCGGAAUUACUGGGCGUAAAGCGCACGCAGGCGGUUUGUUAAGUCAGAUGUGAAAUCCCCGGGCUCAACCUGGGAACUGCAUCUGAUACUGGCAAGCUUGAGUCUCGUAGAGGGGGGUAGAAUUCCAGGUGUAGCGGUGAAAUGCGUAGAGAUCUGGAGGAAUACCGGUGGCGAAGGCGGCCCCCUGGACGAAGACUGACGCUCAGGUGCGAAAGCGUGGGGAGCAAACAGGAUUAGAUACCCUGGUAGUCCACGCCGUAAACGAUGUCGACUUGGAGGUUGUGCCCUUGAGGCGUGGCUUCCGGAGCUAACGCGUUAAGUCGACCGCCUGGGGAGUACGGCCGCAAGGUUAAAACUCAAAUGAAUUGACGGGGGCCCGCACAAGCGGUGGAGCAUGUGGUUUAAUUCGAUGCAACGCGAAGAACCUUACCUGGUCUUGACAUCCACAGAACUUUCCAGAGAUGGAUUGGUGCCUUCGGGAACUGUGAGACAGGUGCUGCAUGGCUGUCGUCAGCUCGUGUUGUGAAAUGUUGGGUUAAGUCCCGCAACGAGCGCAACCCUUAUCCUUUGUUGCCAGCGGUCCGGCCGGGAACUCAAAGGAGACUGCCAGUGAUAAACUGGAGGAAGGUGGGGAUGACGUCAAGUCAUCAUGGCCCUUACGACCAGGGCUACACACGUGCUACAAUGGCGCAUACAAAGAGAAGCGACCUCGCGAGAGCAAGCGGACCUCAUAAAGUGCGUCGUAGUCCGGAUUGGAGUCUGCAACUCGACUCCAUGAAGUCGGAAUCGCUAGUAAUCGUGGAUCAGAAUGCCACGGUGAAUACGUUCCCGGGCCUUGUACACACCGCCCGUCACACCAUGGGAGUGGGUUGCAAAAGAAGUAGGUAGCUUAACCUUCGGGAGGGCGCUUACCACUUUGUGAUUCAUGACUGGGGUGAAGUCGUAACAAGGUAACCGUAGGGGAACCUGCGGUUGGAUCACCUCCUU